GUGGGGAAUCUUAGACAAUGGGGGCAACCCUGAUCUAGCCAUGCCGCGUGAUCGAUGAAGGCCUUAGGGUUGUAAAGAUCUUUCAGCUGGGAAGAUAAUGACGGUACCAGCAGAAGAAGCCCCGGCUAACUCCGUGCCAGCAGCCGCGGUAAUACGGAGGGGGCUAGCGUUGUUCGGAAUUACUGGGCGUAAAGCGCACGUAGGCGGACUGGAAAGUCAGGGGUGAAAUCCCGGGGCUCAACCCCGGAACUGCCUUUGAAACUCCCAGUCUUGAGUUCGAGAGAGGUGAGUGGAAUGCCGAGUGUAGAGGUGAAAUUCGUAGAUAUUCGGAGGAACACCAGUGGCGAAGGCGGCUCACUGGCUCGAUACUGACGCUGAGGUGCGAAAGCGUGGGGAGCAAACAGGAUUAGAAACCCCGGUAGUCC
rnacentral:rRNA from 1 species